CGAAAGAUGGUGAACUAUGCCUGAGCGGGGCGAAGCCAGAGGAAACUCCGGUGGAGGCUCAUAGCGAUACUGACGCGCAAAUCGUUCGUCUGACCUGGGUAUAGGGGCGAAAGACUAAUCGAACUAUCUAGUAGCU
rnacentral:rRNA from 16 species